rnacentral:misc_RNA from 1 species
GGGAAAUAGAAGCCUGGGUAGUGGGUACUUGUCCAGUAGUGGGGAUUAGAAUGUGAAUGUGCAUGUCUCCUAUCUCUGACUGGGCUACUGAGUUUAUGGGGAUGGGGAAUGAAGUCUAUGCAAGUAGAUAAUAGGAGGGAAAAAUCUGAAGUAGAUAACAGGAGGGAAAAAUCUAUUCAGUGUCCUGUUUGGUUUUGUAUUUUUCAAAGUGCUGCUAGAUUGACCCUCAUUGAAGACCAAACUCAGCUGUUAUUUUACUCUUGACUAGGGGUGAGCAUUCGGUUAAAAUCAGACCGAACCGAUAGAAUUGAAUUAGCCAAGUUUCAUUAUUUUACAAAGCAAAGCGAACCAAACUCUGCACCAAACCAAAAUAAACCGGUUCGGUUCAGUUUAAAAAAUGGUUCUUCUCCCAUUUUAUCUGCCUUUUUUUCUCACAAAUUCACACCCAUUUUCCAUUCGAAGCUUUCAAACUUCAGAGUCAUAGAGCCACAAUAAAUGAAUAAAACACAAAAUCAACUCAAAUAAACACAAUCAAUGAAGUAAACACAUAAUUAAUUCAAUUUUAUCAUUCAUCUAAUGUCAAAAGACCAACAUGAAGUUCCAACUUGAGAUUUCCAUAAAACAAUCAAGAACUCAUAACUAAGACUUACAUUUACUAAAAACCAUAUACCAACAAACAUAUAAGCAUUAAGAAGUGAAAAAAAACCAGGCGAGCUAAACAAUCGAGACCCAUGCAAGCAAGGUGAGAAGAACUUGCACCAGGCGAGCAAGGCAAGUUGAGAAGAAAAGAUCGGGUCAUCGAGGACCUCGAGGCAUUGAUGGAGUUGAGGAGAAGCAGUGGAUCUCUCCUUAUGGGCCUGUAGCUGUGUUGACGACGUGGGUGGUGGGUUUGUUGAACAAGGAGUGGUGAGUGCGAGGGAGUGAGGGAGUAGAGGAAAAGUAGUGAGUCUGCCGUUAUGGGCCUAUGGCUGUGGCCUCUGUGCGGAUGGAGAGUGAUUGUGGAGAAGAAGACGCAUAAGAAGUAGAAGAAUAAGGUAAAAGAAGACUAAAAGAGAGGGAGAUGAAGAAGGGUCUCUGAAAUAUAUAUUUGGGAACAGAUAUAGGGAAGGAUAUUUGGGUCUCUGAAUAAGGGUAUCUAUGGUUAAAGAUAUUUGGGAACAAAUAUAAAACAUGUUUUUUUUUAAUUUCAAUUAAGUACGGUUUUUCCGGUUUUUUUUUUUUUU